UUUCGCAAUGCCCGAAAGGGUGACGAAGCGACGCCGCGUGCGGGAAGAAGGCCUUCGGGUUGUAAACCGCUGUCGGGAGUUAAGAAAUGUAAGGAUGUUAAUAGCAUCUUUGCUUGACUAAGGCUCCGGAGGAAGCCACGGCUAACUCUGUGCCAGCAGCCGCGGUAAUACAGAGGCGGCAAGCGUUGUUCGGAAUUAUUGGGCGUAAAGAGCACGUAGGCGGCUAUGUAAGUCGGUUGUGAAAGCCUUCCGCUCAACGGGAGAACAGCAUCCGAUACUGCAUGGCUUGAGUGCGGGAGGGGAGAGUGGAACUUCUGGUGGAGCGGUGAAAUGCGUAGAUAUCAGAAGGAACGCCGGCGGCGAAAGCGGCUCUCUGGCCCAUAACUGACGCUGAGUGUGCGAAAGCUAGGGGAGCAAACGGGAUUAGAUACCCCGGUAGUCCUAGCCGUAAACGAUGGGCACUAAGUAGAGGGGUUUUAAUCUC
rnacentral:rRNA from 1 species